AUUGAACGCUGGCGGCAUGCCUUACACAUGCAAGUCGAACGGCAGCGCGGACUUCGGUCUGGCGGCGAGUGGCGAACGGGUGAGUAAUACAUCGGAACGUACCCUGUUGUGGGGGAUAACUAGUCGAAAGAUUAGCUAAUACCGCAUACGACCUGAGGGUGAAAGUGGGGGACCGCAAGGCCUAACGCAGCAGGAUCGGCCGAUGUCUGAUUAGCUAGUUGGUGGGGUAAAGGCCCCCCAAGGCGCCGAUCAGUAGCUGGUCUGAGAGGACGAUCAGCCACACUGGAACUGAGACACGGCCCAGACUCCUACGGGAGGCAGCAGUGGGGAAUUUUGGACAAUGGGGGCAACCCUGAUCCAGCAAUGCCGCGUGUGUGAAGAAGGCCUUCGGGUUGUAAAGCACUUUUGUCCGGAAAGAAAUCGCGCUGGUUAAUACCUGGCGUGGAUGACGGUACCGGAAGAAUAAGCACCGGCUAACUACGUGCCAGCAGCCGCCGUAA
rnacentral:rRNA from 1 species